rnacentral:piRNA from 1 species
AGCCAAGACUUAAAUUGAACAAUC